rnacentral:misc_RNA from 1 species
GCAAGAACUAAAUAGUAAUUUUCUCUUAAAAAAUAGUAAUACAUUAUAAUCAUAUAAAAAGAUAUGAAACUUCAAAAACCAUCAAACUUUGCCAUAAAAAUUUUCUUAACCCACAACAAAUCAAAUAUUUAAAUAAACUAGAAGCUGGCCUGGCCAACUUACCAAUGCGAUUUUUGCAGAUUAAAAAACAUUUGCUUUCCAGUAUUCAAUUUCUGCCCACUUUACACUGCAGGUACCUCUCUACAACGUCCAGCCCACAGAGCUCCUUCACAAUAGGCAUGGUGGCAGGAACCCCCACCUGGAAUGUUAAAUGAGAGCCAUCUAAGCAACCCCAUGAAUGAAGCUGUUUUCGUGCUUCACUAAUAGCAGCUUUUGUAGCACAGUGGACUGAGGCUGCUAGGAGUAAUGGUGGCUCACCAGAAGCUGCACAAAAGCAGAUAUGAUUCAACAACUAACAUCUUUCAUAAAUCGACACAACUUAUUACUAUGGACUCAUAUAAGCAUUGCAUUAUUUAUUGUAAAUACCCAAUUGUAAAUAGCACUAAAAUUAACAGUCUUGACACAAUUUUCUAUUCAGGUCUAUUCCAAGCGUAAUUCUGAUUUUGGCAGUGACUGAAGCCCAUAUCUAUUCCAAGCCUCACUUGCUACUCACUACAGCAUUUUGUAGAAUAACAAUCAUUCACAAUACCAUUUUUCCGGAAGAUCUCCAAAAUGUAGCUUGACAAUAAAAUGUGAUAUUGUAAUUUGCAAAACAUCUUAGAGACCUUUCAGAAAAUGCAUUUUUAUAUUUUCUUCCCUUCUCUCGGAAUAGAAACAAUUGAAAAUAAAAAGUAAAAAUAAAUUCUGCCAGCUAAAUUUAUGUUGCAAAUUAUUACACUAAAACUCUGUUACGCACAAAAAUAUCAGUUUCAAGCAGAUAGCAUGCUGUCCCAUUUGCUCAUUUUGUUAUUCAUCACAAAAGCACCUCUCAAAAUAAUGUCAUCCGGUUCAUCUGUAAUCAAGCUCGCAUUACUGCAUAAGUUAGAUUAUAAGUGAGUCGAUAAUAAUACAGCAAAGAUAAAAUAUAGCAAUUCUACUCAAUCUUUUAUCCUUAUUGUCAGUAAACAAAUAUCCCUCUUGCUUCUUUUCUAAGUAAUCAGAUCAGCAAUUCACAAAAUGAAAAUUUAUACUUACAUGUGCAUCCAACAGGCUUCAAAAAAAUAUUGAACACUUGAUAAUGAGGAAAUUUUCAGUUUUGCAUGCAUGGAGAAAUUAUCAUAGAUUAUCAAUCUACCUUUGGAAGAGAGAACACGUAAUUAUCAUAGAUUAUCAAUCGACCUUUGGAAGAGAGAACACGUUUUGGGUUACGUCCACUGUGAAGUAAUGCAACAUUGAGCUGCUUUGGUAUGGUGUCAAUUGUAGGGAUCUUGUACGUCCAUGUGCCUUCUGUGUCUACCAAUCCAUCUGAGUUUGUUGUGUAUUCUUCAAGCAUGAAAAACCCAAUUCCUUGGACAAAAGCUCCUUCAAUCUGUCCUAAAUCCACAGCAGGGUUGAGAGAUUGUCCACAAUCAUAUAAAAUAUCUGAUCUCAAAAUAGUUGUUUGCCCUGUCAGAAGGUCUACUUCCACCUCACUCACUGCAGCACCAUAGUUUAAGUAUUGUUUUGAAGCAAAGUCAGGAAUGAAGAAAGAAUUCACUGAUAAGUUCACAGCUUCCAAAU